GGCACUGCUGGCUGGUCCACGUUUCCAUGCCGUGCUGGAAAAUAUUGCUGGUAUAAAAUAACUGGGAAGUGGGGUUGUUUCAUUUUGUCUAUUUUUUAAUUGUUUUCUUUCUUUCGGAGAUACUUGUCAUGAGCGUAAGGCAACAUACUGCCGCCUGUGAGAGUCUGAGGAAAUGUUCCAGGAUGCCUGGGCACUGAUGAAAAAUGUGAUUUGCCCCACUCCCGGAGUCAUCUUGGGCAGCCCAUCUUCUUGCACUGGGGACAACUUCGAUUGAUAUGGAUAUAUUCAAGCCCUGCCAGAAAGCACUUCACUGAUGUCAACCAGAGAGGAAGAGUCCAUAAUGGACAGGAAGGCAUCAGGUAGCCACAACAGGAAGCCGAGAGACCGUGUCUUCAACUGCAAUCACAAAGCAGAGAAACUAACCUGGAAGUGGAGUCAAGCUGCCCAUGUUCUCAAAGUCCACCCCCAGUGACAGCCUUCCUCCAGCAAGGCUCCACCCUCUAAAGGUGCCACAACUUCCCCAACAGCGCCACCUACAGGGGAAUCAAGAGUUGAAACUCGUGAGCCUGUGGGGGAUGCUUUGCAUUCAAACCGACACAGUUGCUCUCUCCCUUGUUUACUAAGACUUAGUGUGGAAGGUCCAUCUAAUUCUCCAAAAGAUGAGAAACAUGCAAACCACUUUACAGCUGCUCACCAUGGACACUGCGCCUUCUUUAUUUGCUAACAAAAGAAAAAGGAAAAAAAAAAGCUUGGGAAAUGUGGUUCUUGGUCUCUUAACAUAUCUAAAUAUUUCAAGUGUGAAAUUUUAAUAGGCAAAUAGCUUUAACAUAACUCAUCUUGUAUUUGUGUACUUAAAACAAUGAGUUUAUGCUGGUCCCAAA